UACGGGGGGGGCAAGCGUUGUUCGGAAUUACUGGGCGUAAAGGGCUCGUAGGCUGCCAACUAAGUCAGACGUGAAAUCCCUCGGCUUAACCGGGGAACUGCGUCUGAUACUGGAUGGCUUGAGAUCGGGAGAGGGAUGCGGAAUUCCAGGUGUAGCGGUGAAAUGCGUAGAUAUCUGGAGGAACACCGGUGGCGAAGGCGGAUCUCUGGGCCUGUUCUGACGCUGAGGCGCGAAAGCUAGGGGAGCGAACAGG
rnacentral:rRNA from 1 species